rnacentral:lncRNA from 10 species
CCAAAGUCAGGCGGGCAAGUUUUUAUUGUCCUGCUGGGCUGCUCCUUGACUAGCAGAGGAGACAGCCCUGCUUACAGGCUGCAACAGGGCUUUACAGGGCAAGGAACUGGGUCGGGGUAUGUGAACUGAGUUGGGAGCAGGUGUUCUGCCUGCUUCCUGGAGAUGUUUUUGCCAGCUUUGUUAAGCAAGGUUAGCAGACAUGUUAACCGCGUCCUGUAACUGUUUGCCAGUUUAGCUGAAAUCUUCUGGACAAACAGUUACUGGAGGGGUCAGUGAAAGGGGGUUUGUCUUUUGCCCUGAGGUGGCUGUGUGGAGAGCGCAAGGGACUGUAUUGUAAGGCCUGUGGGAAGGAAAGAGAACAGUCUGGUCGGGGUGACCCUAGCAUUAGUCAAAGUUGAAUUACUUCUGAAUAUUGAAGACAGAUCUAGAGUUGAAAAUACCAUCUCAUCAUUCAAUGAACUUAAAGUCUGAGGAGAGCUGAGCUGGAGGCUGAACUUGAUCAUGACUUAGAGGAGAAACUAUCACCUCAUGAUGCUCUGGACAUUGAGCUACAACUUCAUUAG